GAUGAACGCUGGCGGCGUGCCUAAUACAUGCAAGUAGGACGCAGUUGCGAACGGGUGAGUAACGCGUAGGUAACUACCUAUUAGAGGGGGAUAACUAUUGGAAACGAUAGCUAAUACCGCAUACUAGUAGAUGGACCUGCGUUGUAUUAGCUAGUCGGUAGGGUAAUGGCCUAUCUAGGCAACGAUACAUAGCCGGCCUGAAGGGGUGAGCGGUAACAAUGGGACUGAGAAAAGGCCCAGACUCCUGCGGGAGGCAGCCGUAGGGAAGUUUCGGCAAUGGGGGGAACCCUGACCGAGCAACGCCGCGUGGGUGAAGAAAGUUCUCGGAUCGUAAAGCUAUGUUGUUAAGGAAGCGGUACUUAACCAGAAAGGGACGGCUAACUACGUGCCAGCAGCCGCGGUAAUAC
rnacentral:rRNA from 1 species